rnacentral:rRNA from 1 species
AGCGUUUGACAUCCUGAUCGCGGUUACCAGAGAUGGUUUCCUUCAGUUCGGCUGGAUCAGUGAC